GGUAAUGGUAAAUGGCUGCAGAAUUUUUACUGUACGAAGGUAGCGUAAUCAUUAGUCUUUUGAUUGGAGAAUUGUAUGAAUGGUGGAACCAAAUUGGAACUGUCUCUAGUAAAAUCAAAGAAUUUGGGUGUUGGGUUCAAAUCCCCAAAUACUCCGGUGGGACGAGAAGACCCUGUAGAUUUUCAUUAUCUUCAGAAUUAUAAACAUAUUUGAUGAUAAUUUACCUGGGAAGGGGUAAUGAAAACAGUUUUUAACAUAAAAGACUUACAAGUCAAUACUUUAAGAUCCCUGAAUCUAGGAAAAUAGGAAUAAAUACCUCAGGGCUAACAGCACAAUUCAAGUUCUUUGAUCUCAAGGGAUACUUUGAGUUUGUGACCUCGAUGUUGAAUUGAGAUUCGGUUUAGGGAGAAGAAAAUCUAAAUCUCAGUCUGUUCGACUGUUAAAAUCU
rnacentral:rRNA from 1 species